rnacentral:rRNA from 1 species
GAUGAACGCUGGCGGCGUGCCUAAUACAUGCAAGUCGAGCGAACAGAUAAGGAGCUUGCUCCUUUGAAGUUAGCGGCGGACGGGUGAGUAACACGUGGGUAACCUACCUAUAAGACUGGGAUAACUUCGGGAAACCGGAGCUAAUACCGGAUAACAUUUAGAACCGCAUGGUUCUAAAGUGAAAGAUGGUUUUGCUAUCACUUAUAGAUGGACCCGCGCCGUAUUAGCUAGUUGGUAAGGUAACGGCUUACCAAGGCGACGAUACGUAGCCGACCUGAGAGAGUGAUCGGCCACACAGGAGCUGAGACACGAUCCAGGCUCCUACGGGAUGCAGCAGUAUGGAAUCGUCCGCAAUGGGCGAAAGCCUGACGGAGCAACGCCGCGUGAGUGAUGAAGGGUUUCGGCUCGUAAAACUCUGUUAUUAGGGAUGAACAAAUUUGUUAGUAACUGAACAAGUCUUGACGGUACCUAACCAGAAAGCCACGGCUAACUACGUGCCAGCAGCAGCCGCGG